CCGAGACCUCUCUGGCCUUCCGUGUGCUGCGCAAGCUGCUGGAAGACGAGAUGGGCGUGGAAGAAGCCAACAAGCGCAUCUACGCCACCACCGACCGCGCCAAGGGUACCCUCAAGCAGCUGGCUGACGCCCAGGGCUGGCCCACCUUCGUCGUCCCCGACGAUGUCGGCGGCCGCUACUCCGUCCUUUCCGCUGUGGGCCUGCUGCCCAUCGCUGCUGCCGGCAUCAGCAUCGACGACGUCAUGAAGGGCGCAGCCGACGCGAUGGAGCGCUUCUCCGUGCUCAGCCCCGACAACGACGCUUACAAGUAUGCGGCCAUCCGCAACAUCCUGUACCUUUCUUAUACGAUAAUUUAGCUCAAAGUCUUGAUUACGAAUUAAUCGUUCAUCAUACAUUCCAAAUCGCUCAAAUGUAUCUCGUCGAUAGCAACCAAAUGGAACAGUAUCCACCUUCAUCACUUUAUCAACACCUGUACGGAACACAGAAUUUCCCACACCAAACUUGUUGCUUAAGACUUCACGUAUAGCCAAUGUCUUUGGGGUUUUAUUCAACACGUCUGUUUUGCAAACCACCCCUACAUUAUCAGCGUCUAAUUCUACAAUUCGCCCAAUCAACGCCGAGAAAUAAUUUGUCGGAUAACUAGCGUGGGCAUCCAAACGGAUAAUAAUAUCCCCCUUCGAUGCCUUUAUGCCUAUAUUCAUGGCGCAAGGUACUAUCCGCUUCGGGUUGUCAAACAAUUUGAUGAAUGGAUAUUCAUUGGAAUAGUUAACUACAAUACAACGAGUAUCAUCUGUACUCAUUCCAUCCACAAACAAUAUCUCCAAAUCAUCCUUUGGAUAAUCCUGUGCAAGAAUCGACUCAACACACUGGCCGAUAUACUUCUCUUCGUUGUAUAUAGUACAAAUUACUGAUAACAUAUCUUACAAUCUCCCGUCAAUAAACUCUUUCGGCAAAAUACCUUUCACAUCAUAAAGCACGCUGUUCGCUUUACCCAAAGAAGUCAUAUCCAUCUCCAAAAACUCAUUGUGAGCAACAGCGAGGAUAACAGCGUCAUAACUAUCUGAAGGUAACAUAUUUACCACUGUCACACCAUAUUCGUGUUUCACAGCUUCCACGUUGGCGUGCGGAUCAAACACAGUGAUAUUGUCCGUGUACUCAUGCAAUGUCGUGUAAAUAUCCACUACCUUUGUGUUACGGAUAUCAGGGCAGUUUUCCUUAAAAGUAAUACCUAGGAUCAAAAUCUUCGCAUCCUUCACCAUCACCCCCUUCAAGUUCAUAUGCUUGAUAACUUGAUGCGCCACAUAUUCUCCCAUACCAUCGUUUAAACGGCGAGCGGAUGACAUCACACGUGGUAAUACUCCGUAAACUUGUGCUUUCUGUAUCAAAUAAUAAGGAUCCACACUGAUGCAAUGACCACCCACUAAACCAGGUUUCAAUUUAAUAAAGUUCCACUUAGACGCAGCAGCCUCAAUCACCUCGUUAGUAUCAAUACCCAUAGCAUUAAAAAUCUUCGCCAAUUCAUUCAUGAAAGCUAUAUUCACGUCUCGUUGUGAAUUCUCAAUGAUCUUAGAGGCUUCUGCCACUUUGAUACGGGAGAAGCAUUGUUAAGGAACUCGGCAAAAUGACUCCGUAACUUCGGGAGAAGGAGUGCCAUGCGAAUGGCCGCAGAGAAUUGGCCCAAGCAACUGUUUAGCAAAAACACAGGUCUAUGCGAAACCGAAAGGUGAGGUAUAUGGGCUGACGCCUGCCCGGUGCUGGAAGGUUAAGAGGAGAGGUUAGCGCAAGCGAAGCUUUGAAUUUAAGCCCCAGUAAACGGCGGCCGUAACUAUAACGGUCCUAAGGUAGCGAAAUUCCUUGUCGGGUAAGUUCCGACCCGCACGAAAGGCGUAAUGAUUUGAGCACUGUCUCGACAAUACAUCCGGUGAAAUUGAAGUACCAGUGAAGAUGCUGGUUACCCGCGCCAGGACGGAAAGACCCCAUGGAGCUUUACUCCAGUUUGGUACUGGGAUUCGGUACUGCACGUACAGGAUAGGUGGGAGACUUUGAAACUUGAACGCCAGUUUGAGUGGAGUCGCUGUUGGGAUACCACCCCUGCAGUAUUGGAUUUCUAACCAGUCACCGUGAUCCGGUGAUGGGACAAUGCCAGGCGGGGAGUUUGACUGGGGCGGUCGCCUCCGAAAGGGUAUCGGAGGCGCUCAAAGGUUCCCUCAGAAUGGUCGGAAACCAUUUGAAGAGUGCAAAGGCAGAAGGGAGCUUGACUGCGACACCGACGGGUGGAGCAGGUAGGAAACUAGGACUUAGUGAUCCGGUGGCAUAAAGUGGGAUUGCCAUCGCUCAACGGAUAAAAGCUACCCUGGGGAUAACAGGCUUAUCACUCCCAAGAGUUCACA
rnacentral:rRNA from 1 species